CAAAUCAGGUAGGAUUACCCGCUGAACUUAAGCAUAUCAAUAAGCGGAGGAAAAGAAACUAACAAGGAUUCCCCUAGUAACUGCGAGUGAAGCGGGAAAAGCUCAAAUUUAAAAUCUGGCGGUCUUUGGCCGUCCGAGUUGUAGUCUGGAGAAGUGCUUUCCGCGCUGGACCGUGUACAAGUCUCUUGGAACAGAGCAUCAUAGAGGGUGAGAAUCCCGUCUUUGACACGGACUACCAGUGCUUUGUGAUGUGCUCUCAAAGAGUCGAGUUGUUUGGGAAUGCAGCUCAAAAUGGGUGGUAAAUUCCAUCUAAAGCUAAAUAUUGGCGAGAGACCGAUAGCGAACAAGUACCGUGAGGGAAAGAUGAAAAGCACUUUGGAAAGAGAGUUAAACAGUACGUGAAAUUGCUGAAAGGGAAACGCUUGAAGUCAGUCGCGUUGGCCAGGACUCAGCCUUGCUUUUGCUUGGUGCAUUUUCUGGUUGACGGGCCAGCAUCGAUUUUGACCGCUGGAAAAAGGUUAGGGGAAUGUGGCACCUUCGGGUGUGUUAUAGCCCUUAGUCGCAUACAGUGGUUGGGAUCGAGGACCGCAGCACGCCUUUAUGGCCGGGGUUCGCCCACGUUCGUGCUUAGGAUGCUGGCGUAAUGGCUUUAAACGACCCGUCUUGAAACACGGACCAAGGAGUCUAACAUGCCUGCGAGUGUUUGGGUGGAAAACCCGAGCGCGUAAUGAAAGUGAAAGUUGAGAUCCCUGUCGUGGGGAGCAUCGACGCCCGGACCUGAACUUCGGUGAUGGAUCUGCGGUAGAGCAUGUAUGUUGGGACCCGAAAGAUGGUGAACUAUGCCUGAAUAGGGUGAAGCCAGAGGAAACUCUGGUGGAGGCUCGUAGCGAUUCUGACGUGCAAAUCGAUCGUCAAAUUUGGGUAUAGGGGCGAAAGACUAAUCGAACCAUCUAGUAGCUGGUUCCUGCCGAA
rnacentral:rRNA from 1 species